GGGCUAACCGGAGAGCAGGACGGGGGGUCCGGUGUCUAGGGUCGGGAGCGGCGGCGGCGGCGGCGGCGGCUCAUCCAACAACGCGCGACUGCCGGUGCGCGCCGCCCCCUCCAGCGGCGCACAGAGCUUCUCCUCCGGCGGCAGCGUUGAGGCCGGCAGACGUUAAUGGGGCCUGCCGCCCCUCGGCGGCGGUGCCCGACGCUGGUCCACAAAAACUUGAAAGUCGAGUGUUCAUCGGUCAGAAUAGCAAAACGACGAACACCUUCCUUCGAGGUCCAAUGACUACGUUUAAUCUCCUAGACUGAGGACUAACCUGUCUGUAAACAGAAUAAACAGAGUACAGUAGAUGAAUUUAACCUGACUUGUUAGUCGUGUCUCUAUACCGUCUUGGCACCGGUGGCAUAAGUAGUAGUAGAGCACCCUUUUUCUUCGCUGGUGCGAGAGGAUUACUGCUGCGGUGUUCAAGUGUUCCGUCUUGGCUCUUGUCGUGUUCGGAACUCCUGUUGGAAUAUAAGUCACUAUGAAACUAUCGAGAUGUCAACUACGCGUGUGUCAAGGGUUUCGAUCUCUUCCAACAUUGUGUCGGAAAGUAAAAUGUCAGGGUUAACAUAUCGUCGCACUUCCUGUCCUGUGUUCAACUAUCUCUAAACCUCAGUGACUUCUUUCUGUCUCAUGAGGCACAUAAGUUUGAGUUAUGACCCGUCCUACUGGUACGUUAGUACAAGUACCUACUAAUAGACUUUGUCUACCUUAGACGACAGUCCUCCAGUUUCCCAUUUUUGGUUCUAACGUCACUUCACAAACUCACCAAACUCUUUAUACAAGACGGAAGCUUUAACCUACAAUCGUAUCUAGUGGAUCUCGACACAAGUGACAAUAGUGUACCCCCACUACGUUCUCUAUUUGUAUAGUGGAAUAACUACUUACGACCAGAGGAUUGUGCGGUUGAUUAUCUAGGUUUGUACAUGACCAAAAGAUAAGGUUCAUAACCGGGAUAGAACUUUCCGGAUUGGGUCCCCUCCUUCCUUCAAGAAAGCAAUAACUUGGCAGCCUUCAUGUUCCUCUACGAUGAUAGAAGUGACCUCUUCUGCUCCAAUUCUAAUAGUGGAGAACUGCACGCCAAGGUGGAGGCGCUAGACUAACCCAGACCAGUCUAUUUCUGCCAAGUUUGUCGGUGACCGAAUGAACGAGCGCACAGUUGUCUAACUAUUUAUGUGGAAACCUAUUUUUUUCUUAGUUGUCUAAAGCGAAGAAGACUAUUCUUAUCAUAAAGGACGAGUCCGUCGUUUUCAUCGGUCUCAAAUAAAAUAACCAAGGACGUAAGAAAUUCCAGUUAAUCAUCCCACAUAAAAGAAAAGACUCUCCAUAAUACAAGAACUAGACUAAUUACAACAUAUCCUUAGUACUACUUUAUGAUCUUUAAAAUGCAUGGCUUACUUAACAAAGGACACCUUUCGUACGUUGUAUCACACCUUAGAGGUACAUAAGUACACAUUGUUUACCCCGUUGACCG
rnacentral:rRNA from 1 species